GUUUGAUCCUGGCUCAGGACGAACGCUGGCGGCGUGCCUAAUACAUGCAAGUCGAACGAACUCUGGUAUUGAUUGGUGCUUGCAUCAUGAUUUACAUUUGAGUGAGUGGCGAACUGGUGAGUAACACGUGGGAAACCUGCCCAGAAGCGGGGGAUAACACCUGGAAACAGAUGCUAAUACCGCAUAACAACUUGGACCGCAUGGUCCGAGCUUGAAAGAUGGCUUCGGCUAUCACUUUUGGAUGGUCCCGCGGCGUAUUAGCUAGAUGGUGGGGUAACGGCUCACCAUGGCAAUGAUACGUAGCCGACCUGAGAGGGUAAUCGGCCACAUUGGGACUGAGACACGGCCCAAACUCCUACGGGAGGCAGCAGUAGGGAAUCUUCCACAAUGGACGAAAGUCUGAUGGAGCAACGCCGCGUGAGUGAAGAAGGGUUUCGGCUCGUAAAACUCUGUUGUUAAAGAAGAACAUAUCUGAGAGUAACUGUUCAGGUAUUGACGGUAUUUAACCAGAAAGCCACGGCUAACUACGUGCCAGCAGCCGCGGUAAUACGUAGGUGGCAAGCGUUGUCCGGAUUUAUUGGGCGUAAAGCGAGCGCAGGCGGUUUUUUAAGUCUGAUGUGAAAGCCUUCGGCUCAACCGAAGAAGUGCAUCGGAAACUGGGAAACUUGAGUGCAGAAGAGGACAGUGGAACUCCAUGUGUAGCGGUGAAAUGCGUAGAUAUAUGGAAGAACACCAGUGGCGAAGGCGGCUGUCUGGUCUGUAACUGACGCUGAGGCUCGAAAGUAUGGGUAGCAAACAGGAUUAGAUACCCUGGUAGUCCAUACCGUAAACGAUGAAUGCUAAGUGUUGGAGGGUUUCCGCCCUUCAGUGCUGCAGCUAACGCAUUAAGCAUUCCGCCUGGGGAGUACGGCCGCAAGGCUGAAACUCAAAGGAAUUGACGGGGGCCCGCACAAGCGGUGGAGCAUGUGGUUUAAUUCGAAGCUACGCGAAGAACCUUACCAGGUCUUGACAUACUAUGCAAAUCUAAGAGAUUAGACGUUCCCUUCGGGGACAUGGAUACAGGUGGUGCAUGGUUGUCGUCAGCUCGUGUCGUGAGAUGUUGGGUUAAGUCCCGCAACGAGCGCAACCCUUAUUAUCAGUUGCCAGCAUUAAGUUGGGCACUCUGGUGAGACUGCCGGUGACAAACCGGAGGAAGGUGGGGAUGACGUCCAAUCAUCAUGCCCCUUAUGACCUGGGCUACACACGUGCUACAAUGGAUGGGACCCCGAGUUGCGAACUCGCGAGAGUAAGCUAAUCUCUUAAAGCCAUUCUCAGUUCGGAUUGUAGGCUGAUACUCGCCUACUUGAAGUCGG
rnacentral:rRNA from 2 species